UACGGAGGGGGCUAGCGUUGUUCGGAAUUACUGGGCGUAAAGGGCAUGCAGGCGGUCCGACACGUUUUGUGUGACAGCGGGUGGCUUAACUACCCGAGGAUACGAAAGACGGUUGGACUUGAGGACUCGAGAGGGACACGGAAUUCCGGGUGGAGUGGUGAAAUGCGUAGAGAUCCGGAGGAACACCGAAGGCGAAGGCAGUGUCCUGGCGAGUGACUGACGCUGAGGUGCGAAAGCCAGGGGAGCGAACGGG
rnacentral:rRNA from 1 species